CCUACGGGAGGCAGCAGUAGGGAAUCUUCCACAAUGGGCGAAAGCCUGAUGGAGCAACGCCGCGUGGGUGAAGAAGGUCUUCGGAUCGUAAAACUCUGUUGUUAGAGAAGAAAGUGCGUGAGAGUAACUGUUCACGUUUCGACGGUAUCUAACCAGAAAGCCACGGCUAACUACGUGCCAGCAGCCGCGGUAAUCCGUAGGUGGCAAGCGUUGUCCGGAUUUAUUGGGCGUAAAGGGAACGCAGGCGGUCUUUUAAGUCUGAUGUGAAAGCCUUCGGCUUAACCGGGGUAGUGCAUUGGAAACUGGGAGACUUGAGUGCAGAAGAGGAGAGUGGAACUCCAUGUGUAGCGGUGAAAUGCGUAGAUAUAUGGAAGAACACCAGUGGCGAAGGCGGCUCUCUGGUCUGUAACUGACGCUGAGGUUCGAAAGCGUGGGUAGCAAACAGGAUUAGAUACCCGUGUAGUC
rnacentral:rRNA from 1 species